GAUGAAGAACGCAGCGAAAUGCGAUAAGUAGUGUGAAUUGCAGAAUUCAGUGAAUCAUCGAAUCUUUGAACGCACAUUGCGCCCCCUGGCAUUCCGGGGGGCAUGCCUGUCCGAGCGUCAUUUCUGCCCUCCAGCCCGGCUGGGUGUUGGGCGCUGUCCCCCCGGGGACACGCCCCAAAGGCAGUGGCGGCGCCGCGUCGGGUCCUCGAGCGUAUGGGGCUUUGUCACCCGCUCGGGACGGACUCGUCGGCGCUGGUCUUCCUCCAGGCGACCCUUCGGGGCUCGUCUUCCUUCGGUUGACCUCGGAUCAGGUAGGGUUACCCGCUGAACUUAAGCAUAUCAAUAAGCGGAGGA
rnacentral:misc_RNA from 1 species